GACGAACGCUGGCGGCGUGCUUAACACAUGCAAGUCGAACGGAAAGGCCCUGCUUUUGUGGGGUGCUCGAGUGGCGAACGGGUGAGUAACACGUGAGUAACCUGCCCCUGACUUUGGGAUAACUUCAGGAAACUGGGGCUAAUACCGGAUAGGAGCUCCUGCUGCAUGGUGGGGGUUGGAAAGUUUCGGCGGUUGGGGAUGGACUCGCGGCUUAUCAGCUUGUUGGUGGGGUAGUGGCUUACCAAGGCUUUGACGGGUAGCCGGCCUGAGAGGGUGACCGGCCACAUUGGGACUGAGAUACGGCUCAGACUCCUACGGGAGGCAGCAGUGGGGAAUAUUGCACAAUGGGCGGAAGCCUGAUGCAGCAACGCCGCGUGCGGGAUGACGGCCUUCGGGUUGUAAACCGCUUUCGCCUGUGACGAAGCGUGAGUGACGGUAAUGGGUAAAGAAGCACCGGCUAACUACGUG
rnacentral:rRNA from 1 species